UUCAUAACGAUCCUUGAAAAUCCGGGUAAGAGAUUUAUUCUCACGCCAGGUCGUACCAAUAACCGCAUCAGGUCUCCAAGGUUAGCAGCCUCUGGUCAAUAGGAUAAUGCAGAUAAGGGAAUUCGGCAAAUUAGAUCCGUAACUUCGGGAAAAGGAUUGGCUCUGAGGAUUGGAUUCAAGGGCCCAUUCAUGAAAGCUUAGCUGUCUUGGAACUGCGGAGGCAACGAAGUGGCUCCAGGAUAGCGAACGCUGGAAUGGGUGGGACGUCUUCAUCGGCUUUCCUUGAAUAAUUAACAAUUAACUCAGAACUGAAGCGGACAAGGGGAAUCCGACUGUUUAAUAAAAACAUAGCAUUGUGAUGGCCUGAAAAGGUGUUGACACAAUGUGAAUUCUGCCCAGUGCUUUGAAUGUCAAAGUGAAGAAAUUACAACCAAGCGCAGGUAAACGGCGG
rnacentral:rRNA from 1 species